rnacentral:rRNA from 1 species
AUAGGGGAGCCGAAGGGAAACCGAGUCUUAACUGGGCGUUAAGUUGCAGGGUAUAGACCCGAAACCCGGUGAUCUAGCCAUGGGCAGGUUGAAGGUUGGGUAACACUAACUGGAGGACCGAACCGACUAAUGUUGAAAAAUUAGCGGAUGACUUGUGGCUGGGGGUGAAAGGCCAAUCAAACCGGGAGAUAGCUGGUUCUCCCCGAAAGCUAUUUAGGUAGCGCCUCGUGAACUCAUCUUCGGGGGUAGAGCACUGUUUCGGCUAGGGGGUCAUCCCGACUUACCAACCCGAUGCAAACUGCGAAUACCGAAGAAUGUUAUCACGGGAGACACACGGCGGGUGCUAACGUCCGUCGUGAAGAGGGAAACAACCCAGACCGCCAGCUAAGGUCCCAAAGUCACAGUUAAGUGGGAAACGAUGUGGGAAGGCUCAGACAGCCAGGAUGUUGGCUUAGAAGCAGCCAUCAUUUAAAGAAAGCGUAAUAGCUCACUGGUCGAGUCGGCCUGCGCGGAAGAUGUAACGGGGCUAAACUGUGCACCGAAGCUGCGGCAGCGACGCUUAUGCGUUGUUGGGUAGGGGUGCGUUCUGUAAGCCUGCGAAGGUGUCCUGUGAGGGAUGCUGGAGGUAUCAGAAGUGCGAAUGCUGACAUAAGUAACGAUAA